rnacentral:misc_RNA from 1 species
GAUGAAGAACGUAGCGAAAUGCGAUAAGUAAUGUGAAUUGCAGAAUUCAGUGAAUCAUCGAAUCUUUGAACGCACAUUGCGCCCCCUGGUAUUCCGGGGGGCAUGCCUGUCCGAGCGUCAUUACAACCCUCAAGCUCAGCUUGGUGUUGGGCCCCGCCGCCCCGGCGGGCCCUAAAGUCAGUGGCGGUGCCGUCCGGCUCCGAGCGUAGUAAUUCUUCUCGCUCUGGAGGUCCGGUCGUGUGCUCGCCAGCAACCCCCAAUUUUUGUCAGGUUGACCUCGGAUCAGGUAGGGAUACCCGCUGAACUUAAGCAUAUCAAUAAGCGGAGGA